AUUGAACGCUGGCGGAAUGCUUUACACAUGCAAGUCGAACGGCAGCACGGACUUCGGUCUGGCGGCGAGUGGCGAACGGGUGAGUAAUGUAUCGGAACGUGCCCAGUCGUGGGGGAUAACGUAGUGAAAAUUACGCUAAUACCGCAUACGAUCUAUGGAUGAAAGCGGGGGAUCGCAAGACCUCGCGCGAUUGGAGCGGCCGAUAUCAGAUUAGGUAGUUGGUGGGGUAAAGGCCCACCAAGCCAACGAUCUGUAGCUGGUCUGAGAGGACGACCAGCGACACUGGAACUGAGACACGGUCCAGACUCCUACGGGAGGCAGCAGUGGGGAAUUUUGGACAAUGGGCGAAAGCCUGAUCCAGCCACUCCGCGUGCAGGAUGAAGGCCCUCGGGCUGUAAACUGCUUUUGUACAGAACGAAAAGGUUUCUACUAAUACUAGGAGCUCAUGACGGUACUGUAAGAAUAAGCACCGGCUAACUACGUGCCAGCCGCGCGGUAA
rnacentral:rRNA from 1 species